CAUUUUCUUGGGUGUUGCCAUAGGUCCGUCUGUAUCUCUAAUAAAACUGUAGAAAGAAGAAGAAGACGAAAGCAGGAAAAAAGGAAAAAGAAAAACAAAAGCAAAAACUAAGAAACAAAGAGGGCAAGUUCAACUUCACCCUCGCAAGCCCGCUCUGGUUUCACUUCGAACCCUAUCCAAGAAUUUCGUCUUAUUUUUCUUUCUGUUCGCUUAAUAGAUAAAACCAAAUAAAAAACUUCCAUUAGAAGAAGAAGAAGAAGAAGAACUUACUUCAGCUUUCUUUUCCUUGUAGCUCGUCUCUCUGACUUGAACUGAAACCCAGAAAGAAAAAACAGGAGAAUCCCAGAAAAGAAAGAAGUAGAGAAAGAAGUAGUAGCCAUGGAUCCAUAUGAUCCAACGAGUGUACUAUUCACGAAAAUUAAGAGUUUAGACCCCGAAAACGUUUCGAAAAUCAUGGGGUAUUUGCUGAUACAUGACCCGGAUAAGAGAGAUUUGAUGCGUCUGGCGUUUGGUCCGGAGACACUUCUACAGUCGUUUGUUUUCAAGGCGAAGACUGACUUGGGACUUCUUUCGAGCACCUUAGCUUCAACGGUUACGCCACCUUCUCCAUCUCCGUUAAACCCCAUAUCAAGACCCAGUACCAGUAGCAGUACCAGUGCUGGAAACCCAUUGACACACACUUCUCCGGGGGUUAUAGGUGAUGGGUUUUUGGACUCGUCAAGCUCCUGGUCAGUUAACAGUCCAAAGUCGAGUCCUUUUCUUUCUUACGAUAAUAUUCGUGCUGGUGGGUCAGUAUUGGGUCCGCCGAAGACCGGCGGGUCUGCUGACGAUACCGGCGGCGCUGGUGAUUGUCUCGACGAGCAUAGGAUGAACGAUUAUCUUUCGUUUCUUAACGACUCGUCCUCAAAGACUGAGGAAGUUGUGGAUCCAAGUUCUCAUUUUGGUUACUCAUUGAACAACGGAGACGCUCAGCUGCACAGGAGGAGUUUCUCUGCGAGUGAUGCGUGUUCCGGUUCGGAGGAAGGAGGGUUUGAUAUGGGCUAUAAGCAUUGCCUGUAUUACAGCAGAGGGUUCUGCAAAAAUGGGGAUAACUGCAAGUUCUUGCAUGGUGGUUUUGGGGAUAAUGUGGAUGUGAAUGAGGGUUUAUUGUGUUCGCCGGGUAAAUUGGAGUAUCUGUAUCAGCAGUCGCAUGAGGAUAUAAUGAGACUUAGGGCCUCUCAGCAGCAAAGAUUGGCUGCAGCCCAGUUCAUGGCCGGAGUCUCACAGUUUCCAUUUGGAAAGGGCUUGAAUUUCCUCUUGCAUCCACAAAAUGACCAUAGGGUCCCAGCAUUGAUGAUGUGUGAAGAGGGUUACCGGCAUGGUGCAGGUCGGUUCGCUAGGAAUGAUGUUUUGGGAAUGGUAUUGGCAGAUAGGUCUAACUCUGCUUCCAGACAGAUCUACUUGACAUUUCCGGCUGAAAGCACUUUCAAAGAUGAAGAUGUUUCGAAUUACUUCAGCAUUUUUGGACCAGUGCAAGAUGUGAGGAUUCCCUAUCAGCAAAAGAGAAUGUUUGGGUUUGUCACAUUUCAUCACCCGGAGACUGUAAAGCACAUAUUGGCUAGAGGAAACCCUCACUUUAUAUGCGAUUCACGUGUUCUUGUCAAGCCCUACAAGGAAAAGGGAAAAGUCCCAGACAAGAGGCAGCAGCAUUUACAACAACAGCAGAUGGAAAGGGGAAAUUUUUCACCUUCUAGCCCUUUGGGGAUUGAUGCUCGAGAGCCUUAUGAAUUUCAUCUUGGGGCAAAGAUAGCAUGCAACAACACACCGGAGAUGUUGUUGAGAAGAAAAUUAGAGGAGCAGGCUGAUCUUCAGCAAGCCAUUGAACUCCACAGGAGAAGGUUUAUGAAUCUGCAACUUCCUGAAUUGAAACGUGAAUAUAUCCACCAUCACCAAUGCAGUCACUCUGUUGGUUCUCCUCUUUACCCGUCUGCCACUGCCAACCAAAAUGUUCUUCCUUCUGUACGUAUCAACCAAGAAGGCUUAGAAGAAGCCUGCAGUGAUAGCUCAGCUGCAACCGAUCCCACAAUAACUGUUACUGCCAAAGAGCAGAUUCAGGCAGAAGAAAAUUCAGGUCGAGUUAAUGAUAACGAUUGUGGCAAUAGCCAAGAGGGAAGCUUUGUCCAUGAAAAAAAUGAAGGGGGCAGUUUAGAGCAUGUUCUCCCUGAUAACCUCUUCCCUCCCAUGCAAUCCAUCAAAAAUCACCACACUGCUUUGGUCGAAGUGAAGGAGAACACUACAACUUCUUCUACAUCUUCCUCAUCCGGAAAGCCCAUAACUUCCGAUGAAAGGGUUUCUCCGUAGGUUUUUCUUUUCUCCUAAAUGCCAAGGUUUUAAUCAUGGGCAUGAAGUUAUCAAAAUGUAGUUAAUAAAAGAAAGUAGAGAAGCAAACACAGGGAAGAAGAAUGGAGUAGAUGUAUAGGCAGAUUAUAGAAGCAGCUUGGAGUGAAGAGUAGAUCCAGAUGAUUUUGAUGAAUACAAAAUACCGCUAACAGCGAAAAAUGCAUAUGGAAAUACUUAGAAGAUAAGUAAUUUUUCUGAUUAGGGUUUUUUUCCUUCUGUUUUCUGCUUUUUACCCCUCCUCCCAGCUAGGGCUUUUUUCUAUUUUCUACUGUUUAUCCCUCCUCCCAACUAGGGCUUUGUCAUCUCAUCUAUAAAUAUAAACGUUGCUGGAUCC